rnacentral:rRNA from 1 species
UGGGCGCAAGCCUGAUGCAGCAACGCCGCGUGCGGGAUGACGGCCUUCGGGUUGUAAACCGCUUUUAGUAAGGAAGAAGGGGCUCUUUCGGGGGUCUUGACGGUACUUGCAGAAAAAGGACCGGCUAACUACGUGCCAGCAGCCGCGGUAAUACGUAGGGUCCGAGCGUUGUCCGGAAUUAUUGGGCGUAAAGAGCUCGUAGGCGGUUUGUCGCGUCUGCUGUGAAAUCUAGAGGCUCAACCUCUAGCCUGCAGUGGGUACGGGCAGACUUGAGUGCGGUAGGGGAGAAUGGAAUUCCCGGUGUAGCGGUGGAAUGCGCAGAUAUCAGGAGGAACACCGAUGGCGAAGGCAGUUCUCUGGGCCGUAACUGACGCUGAGGAGCGAAAGCGUGGGGAGCGAACAGGAUUAGAUACCCUGGUGGUCCACGCCGUAAACGUUGGGCGCUAGAUGUGGGGACCUUUCCACGGUUUCCGUGUCGUAGCUAACGCAUUAAGCGCCCCGCCUGGGGAGUACGGCCGCAAGGCUA